rnacentral:rRNA from 1 species
CUCUUCGGUUAAUACCCGGAGACGAUGACAUUAGCUGCAGAAUAAGCACCGGCUAACUCUGUGCCAGCAGCCGCGGUAAUACAGAGGGUGCAAGCGUUAAUCGGAAUUACUGGGCGUAAAGCGAGCGUAGGUGGCUUGAUAAGUCAGAUGUGAAAGCCCCGGGCUUAACCUGGGAACGGCAUCUGAUACUGUUAGGCUAGAGUAGGUGAGAGGAAGGUAGAAUUCCAGGUGUAGCGGUGAAAUGCGUAGAGGUCUGGAGGAAUACCGAUGGCGAAGGCAGCCUUCUAGCAUCAUACUGACACUGAGGUUCGAAAGCGUGGGUAGCAAACAGGAUUAGAUACCCUGGUAGUCCACGCCGUAAACGAUGUC